GAAUAUAAAGUUCCUGUCAGUUCUUCUUCAUGCAGCGUUUACCAACAGGAACUAACGUGAACAAAGACUCACAGAGUGUGCAGCAUGUUUAAGUCUCUGCGUGUUGAUUUCACUGCAAACUGAAAAAAAAUGAAACCAGCAGCAGCCUGGAGGAGAAGACAAACAUCCAACAUGUGACGUUAGGACUUUGAGUCAUCCUGUUUUAAUCUGACGUUUAUGUGCUGUCAGAAAAGAUGUUUUACAAUAAUUAAUAAUGGUUACAUUUCAGAUAGAUUUUAAGCAUCAUUCAAGUAUUAAUUUGCUUUUUGUGUGUAUUUUUGUUAUUUCUGCUUUUAUACAAAAGUAUUUCAUCCUUCUGCAAAGCACUUUUGACUCUUUGAAGUGGCCCAACAAUAACUAAACUGAAACAUCAAUAAUAGACAUGAGAUGGAAACAAUGAAUCCAGCAUAAACACAUUAAACAUGCUUCUUUAGAAGCAGACAGAAAGUUUUAUUUUUCUGCAAAGCACUUUCUAAUCUAUGAAGCAUUUUCUAACCUGUUUGUAAACAUAAAGUUUGACUACUGUUUUCCACUGUGUGAAAAUAUCCCUUGCUAUUUUUAUGUAAUUUGACUGUAAGAGCAUGGAGGGACUGUGUUUUACAGAUGUGUAACAGACUGUAUAAACUUUAUAAGUGUUUUUCUGUAAACAGACGUUUUCAGGGACUUUUUCAAUGUAUUUUCAACAUGACAUCUGAAUGUUUUCAUUGACGUGGUGAAUUUGUCUAAACCAGUAUAAGCUCUGUAUUUUUUAUGAAGAUAUAAAUUUCUCAGUUGACUUGAUCUAAAAUAAAGUCCAGCAGGUAAUCAG